rnacentral:rRNA from 1 species
UACGGAGGGGGCUAGCGUUGUUCGGAAUUACUGGGCGUAAAGCGCACGUAGGCGGCUUUGUAAGUUAGAGGUGAAAGCCCAGGGCUUAACUCUGGAAUUGCCUUUAAGACUGCAUCGCUAGAAUCGUGGAGAGGUGAGUGGAACUCCGAGUGUAGAGGUGAAAUUCGUAGAUAUUCGGAAGAACACCUGUGGCGAAAGCGGCUCACUGGACCAUAACUGACGCUGAUGCACGAAAGCUAGGGGAGCAAACAGG